UGAAUAGUCUCCUGGGAAUCUGUCACCCUGAACAAGAGUUGGGCUUCCAAGUUCAGCCCAAUAUCAAAGUUUCAAAGCUCUGCAGGGAGAAGAGAUACUGAAUACUGCCCCGUGCCUUUGGGUGAGCUCUUCAUGGACUCAUGUCUGAAUCCAGGGGAGAUAAGAUGUUGUCAUAACCAGCGUCACCGUGAGCCCAGAAAGACCUCCUGAGGCCAACCCGUUUCGUCCCUUUCCUGUGCACCAAAAGUUCCGUUGCCUUCAUCACGCAAGUGACAGCCUGGCCUUGAGAUUUAUGAGUGUGACGUCUCUGUGGGGGCUGUGAGCCCCUGCACCCCGGCUUCCGGAGAGCCCCGUGCAACGGUGAGCCCCCCGCGGGGGCUUCAAAACUCUCUGGUAACCUUGCGACAGAGUGAAUGAAUGAAGGGGAGUCACAUUGCAACAGGCCUAUUCAGAUGAACCAAGGGAUUUUGGUGAAAGAAGGCUUUGCAGUAAUUCAGAUGAGACCUCAGUGGUGGCCUGAACAGAAUCACUGUGAGAUAUGGGGAUUGGAGGCGGGGGGUGGAGUAUGUGGGUUUUAAAAUAUUGAGGAAGGAGAACAGAGUGGACUUGAUGAUUGUUUGAAUGUGCAAAAUAGAUCAUUGGGGAUGAUUUCCAACACAGAUAAUUGACACCCUUCCUUACGCUGGCAAAAACAAAAGAAAUGUAUUCUCUGGACAGAAAACUUAAGGUUGGGACCUGCUGUAGGGUGAGUUCGGCAGCCCAACAUUCCUUGCCUUUCCACUCUGCCAUUCACAGGAUUGACUUCCUAUCACAUCAACAGAUGGCCACGCCCAGUGAUGGUUUUUUUGGUCCAUACGGGAUGGGAGGGAAAUUGGCUUCUCUUUCUGAGAAAUCUGAAACAAGCCUUUUCUGUUUCUUUGGUCUAGAUCGACUCACAGGUAACUAGCACAGCAUAUGAUCUUGAGGGAGAUCUUGAGAAGUAACAUAGUAUAGUGGUUAGGAAUGUAGAUGAUGAAGUCAGUCUGUCUGGGUUCAAGUCCCAGCUACACCACUACAAACUGUGUGACCCAAUCUUUCUUCCUCUGUGCUUCAGUUUCCUUGUCUGCAAACUGGGGAUGAUUAUGAUGAUACCAACAGAAUCUACCCCACAGGCUUGUUAAUAAGUCAAUUGUACGUGAAAUGCUGAGAGAAGCCCUUGCUUGGUUGCUUGGUUGCUUGCUUGGUUGUUGAUUAUUUUUUAAAAUAAAUUCUUCAAUAAUUUUUAAUUGCAUACUUUUCUUCCUUUUAUAAAAAUAUUCUAAACCA